GGUGUAGCUAUUAUAGUCUCCGAAUCAUGCUGUCAUUAGAAAUUGCACAAGACCUAUGCCAGGGGAGGCGCUGACUGGCACAGGCCCUGAAAGGAACCUGAGGACAGAGAAGGAGCUCCCUGCAGCCUUCAGGCAGCCAAGCAGAGGCCUAAGUCCAAGCAUGUGGCCAUAGGGUCUGCUCUGUAAGCCUCAGGGCUACUGCCUUCUGCUCCAGUCCUGGGCCAAAACACCCUUCAGCAGCUCCUGCUCCAUCUGAGCGAGCUGGAUGUCAGCCUCCAUGGGCCCUGUUGUGCAUGGGGUUGAUGCUUCAUCUGAGUGAGCUGGGCAUCUGCCUCCAUGGGUCCUGUUGUGUGUAGGGUUGAUGCUCCAUCUCAGUGAGCUGAGCAUCUGCAUCUCGGGGUUCUGUUGUACAUGGGGUUAAUACUCCAUCCGAGUGAGCUGGGCAUCCGCAUCUCUGGGUUUUGUGUGCGUGGGGUUAACACUCCAUCUGAGUGAGCUGGGUGACUGCCUCCAUGAGUCCUGUUGUGUGUGGGGUUGAUGCUCCAUCUGAGUGAGUGGGGCAUCUGCAUCUCUGUGUCCUGUUGUGUGUGGGGUUGAUGCUGCAUCUGAGUGAGUGGGGCAUCUGCAUCUCUGGGUCCUGUUGUGUGUGGGGUUGAUGCUCCAUCUGAGUGAGUGGGGCAUCUGCAUCUCUGGGUCCUGUUGUAUGUAGGGUUGAUUCUCUAUCUGAGUGAGUGGGGCAUCUGCAUCUCUGGGUUCUGUUGUAUGUGGGGUUGUUGCUCUGAGUGAGUGGUGCAUCUGCAUCUCUGGGUUCUAUUUUAUGUGGGGUUGAUUCUCUGAGUGAGUGGGGCAUCUGCAUCUCUGGGUUCUAGUUUAUGUGGGGUUGAUUCUCUGUCUGAGUGAGUGGGGUGUUUGCAUCUCUGGGUCCUGUUGUAUGUGGAGUUGAUUCUCUAUCUGAGUGAGUGGAGCAUCUGCAUCUCUGGGUCCUGUUGUAUGUGGGGUUGAUUAUCUGAGUGAAUGGGGCAUCUGCAUCUCUGGGUUCUAGUUUAUGUGGGGUUGAUUCUCUAUCUGAGUGAGUGGUGCAUCUGCAUCUCUGGGUUCUAUUUUAUGUGGGGUUGAUUCUCUAUCUGAGUGAGUGGGGUGUCUGCAUCUCUGGAUCCUGUUGUAUAUGGGGUUGAUUCUCUAUCGGAGUGAGUGGGGCAUCUGCAUCUCUGGGUUCUGUUGUAUGUGGGAGUGAUGCUCCAUCUGAGCUGGGCGUCUGCA
rnacentral:lncRNA from 1 species